GUAGGUGGCAAGCGUUGUCCGGAAUGACUGGGCGUAAAGGGUGCGUAGGUGGCUGGUCAAGUUGGUAGUGAAAUUCCGAGGCUUAACUUCGGCGCUACUACCAAGACUGAUUGGCUCGAGUGCAGGAGAGGUAAGCGGAAUUCCUAGUGUAGCGGUGGAAUGCGUAGAUAUUAGGAGGAACACCAGUGGCGAAAGCGGCUUGCUGGCCUGUAACUGACACUGAAGCACGAAAGCGUGGGGAGCAAACAGGAUUAGAUACCCUGGUAGUCCACGCCGUAAACGAUGAUUACUAGGUAUGGGAGGUAUCGACUCCUUCCGUGCCGCAGCUAACGCAAUAAGUAAUCCGCCUGGGGAGU
rnacentral:rRNA from 1 species